rnacentral:rRNA from 1 species
AACGUAGGACGCAAGCGUUAUCCGGAGUACUGGGCGUAAAGCGCGGGCAGGCGGUCGCUCAAGUCUGAUGUGAAAUCUCCUCGCUCAACGGGGAGCAGCCAUUGGAAACUGGGCAACUGGAGUCUGGCAGAGGUAGGCGGAAUUCCGGGUGGAGUGGUGAAAUGCGUAGAGAUCCGGAGGAACACCAGAGGCGAAGGCGGCCUACUGGGCCAGUACUGACGCUGAGCCGCGAAAGCCAGGGGAGCGAACGGG